AUACGGAAGGUCCGGGCGUUAUCCGGAUUUAUUGGGUUUAAAGGGAGCGCAGGCGGAGAUGCAAGCGUGACGUCAAAUUUCGGGGCUCAACCCCGUCUCGCGUCGCGAACUGCGUCCCUUGGUUGCGGGAAGGGGAGGCGGAACUCGUGGUGUAGCGGUGAAGUGCAUAGAUAUCACGAAGAACUCCGAUCGCGAAGGCAGCCUUCCGGCCCGUCAACGACGCUCAUGCUCGAAGGUGCGGGUAUCAAACAGGAUUAGAUACCCUGGUAGUCCGCACAGUAAACGAUGGACACCCGCGGUUUGGCCUAUAUGGCUGAGCCGCCAAGCGAAAGCGUUAAGUGUCCCACCUGGGGAGUACGCCGGCAACGGUGAAACUCAAAUGAAUUGACGGGG
rnacentral:rRNA from 1 species